ACCGAAAGUAACAAGAAUCCCAUUACACUCCUGAAAAGGCAUCAAGACCCCAAACGCGCCUUCCUCCAAAAAUCACUAACUCGGCCACAAGAACUGCAACUCGAGAGAAGAAAAUGGACAACAUUUAAAAGAAGAUGGGAGCGGAAUGCAGCAAAAGGCUACCACCACCACACCACUGAAGGAAAGCUGGCAAAAGGAGACUGAAAAACAGGGAAGCAGGAGGAGGAGGGGUUGCUGUUGAUUCUGCCCUCCCUCUCUCCUCGCCCUCCUCUGCAUCGCCUCUUCCCUCCUCCUCCCUUCCUCCUCCGCUCCAUCCUCAGCAGACUGCCCUUUUUUCCUGUACAGCGAGACGCAGCCCGCGCCACCAUCUUAGAGCAACGCUGGCAUGAAAUGGAAGUGGGAAGACCAGUCAGUGCAGCAGAAUGUUGUCGGUGCAGGGGGAUCCGAAACGGCUGGAGCACACAACGAAGGAAUAACAGGACAACUCCUUCAGCAGCCGUUUGCCGCCUUCCAGCGUGGACUAAACAAGGAUGACGACGCGGAUGUCUGUCAGUGGCGGCAAAUUCCUGCCGUGACUUUGGAACAUCGCCACACUAUUGAUGCUGCUGUGUGAUGCAUUAUUUUCCCCAACAGUCAAGCUGGACUGUUUGUGAACGUGUUGGUUCACGGUGGACUGUGACUGUGGGAAACAAGGCUCAGAGAGAAGAUUAGCAGCUUGAGGUGUGGACAAACUGGUCCAUAAUUGUGACUCUUGCUUUUGUAUUUUGAGGGUGUGGCACUCUAUUUUGUAAUACUUAUAUAUUUAUACAUACAUAUAUACACAUUUGCCUAUAAACAACAGUACUUAGACAUGAGUUAGGAUCAACUAACAUAGGCCUGACUUACUGCAGGACAUAUUUGAUGAGUUGUAGCCCACAUUUAGUUCGAUUUCUGUUUUGUCAUAGUUGCUAGGACUCAAAGACACGUGAAUGUGAGACCCACGGCAGCAGUGAAUAAUACUGCACUGCGAUUGGACAGCUCCGUGUGUCGGUUGACACAAUGGUGAAGGAGUGAGCUGUCGUCUUUAUACUCUAUGCAACUGUUUUAUCUGUUUUUGUUUAUUUUUUCAUCCAUAAACCCAGUUGGGCAGAGCCCCUGUCCUCCUCACUCGGGAUAUUUUUGGGCUACCACUUUAUUCCUUUAGACAUAAUCAAGAGAAAUGUUUUUUGAAGAGACUACAUUCCCAUUGUUAACAUACUGAUCCAGAAAUUACAGUCAGUCUGUGUGAGUGUGUGACUCAGUUUCAUAUUGAGUCUCAUAUUUGCAGCCUUAACAGACAGUGAUUUGACUGUGAAGCCAUGAGAGUAAAUGUGGAACCACACGUUUAAGAUUCCUGAUGGCAGAAGUGUGUUUGAUCAGCAGGAAGUGGUUGAGCAUGGCUCAUGGCUGCAUGUAUACAGAACACGCCACACUAUUAAAACCUUCCCAGCAGGCUGUGAGACGCAGCAGUUUGGUUCAUAGCAGUUACCUGCUUGGCUCUAAUGAUACAUCUUUGGGUGAGACAUGACAAAUACAUUGGCUUCAAACACUGCCUUAAUUUCCUGCCCUUGACAUUAACACACACACACACAUACGCAAAUGUAAUAAAGCAAGUACUAUCGCAGCCUAAUUCAUUCCAUAUUAAUUUUCGGGAAGUGGCAAAUUUUUUAUUACGAUUGAUAAUCUAUGCAAAUCUUUUAAAUAUUACUUUAAACAAUCUAUGUCUAUGCAGUGCUUCUGCAAUUGAUUCAAGGGAGACUAUCUUGGCCUAAUUUAGAAAAUGUAUUCUUUUGAUAAUCAUGCACAUCCCAGUGCUCAAGACAAUUACUUAUCUGCCUGGAUAAGCUUGAAAUUAUGUUUUUAAUCUUUAGCAAAAAAAAGUCACUCUUCUGAUAUCAGUCCAGAGGCAUGAAAAUCAUGAAUUGUGGUCUAAAAUAAUUAAAUCGCUUGCACUACAUCUCUUUUUUCCUUAAAUGCAGAUCAAACAUAUCUAUUCAGCUAUGCCUACGCAUAGCUUAUUGUUUUAUAUAAGCAGCAAUGGUUGUGUUAUGCAAUCUAAUCGCUGUGAAUGAGUGUUCACCACAUGUGCCUUUGUAUGGAAAACUGUGUUGGAAUAGUAAUAAAGGUUUACAUUGAAAACA